rnacentral:rRNA from 1 species
AAGCUCGUAGUUGAAUUUCGGGGUUCUACCGUUGGUCGGGCUAACCAGUCUGUACUAGCGUGUAGAAUUCCUACCUUCUGGGGAACCAUCAUGUUAUUAAUUUAGCGUGGUGGGAAACCAGGACCUUUACCUUGAAAAAAUUAGAGCGUUCAAAGCAGGCUUACGUCUGAAUACAUUAGCAUGGAAUAAUAAAAUAGGACGGUGGUCCUGUUUUGUUGGUUUCUGAAUCACCGUAAUGAUUAUAGGGAUAGUUGGG